rnacentral:rRNA from 1 species
GACGGAGGAUGCAAGUGUUAUCCGGAAUCACUGGCGUAAAGCGUCUGUAGGUGGUUCGAAAGUCCACUGUUAAAAUUGAGGCUUAACUUCAAGAUGCCGUGGAACUUCAACUAGAGUAUGGUAGGUAGAGGAAUUCCAGUGGAGCGGUGAAUGCGUAGAUAUUGGAAGACCACCGAUGGCGAAGGCACUCUACUGCCAUACUGACACUGAGAGACGAAAGCUAGGAGCA